rnacentral:rRNA from 1 species
GGACGAACGCUGGCGGCGUGGAUUAGGCAUGCAAGUCGGACGGUAGGGCUUUAUCGUAAGAUAGAGUUUGAGAGUGGCGAACGGGUGAGUAACACGUAGGAAUCUACCCUUAAGACGGGGACAACCCAGGGAAACUUGGGCUAAUACCGGAUGAGAGUGCGAGAGAUUGCAUUUAAAAGGAUGGCGAAAGUUGUCGCUUAGGGAUGAGCCUGCGGUCUAUUAGUUAGUUGGUGAGGUAAGAGCUCACCAAGGCGAUGAUAGAUAGGCGGCCUUAACGGGUGGUCGCCCACACUGGGAUUGAGAUGCGGCCCAGACUCCUACGGGAGGCAGCAGUCGAGAAUAGUCUACAAUGGCCGGAAGGCUGAUAGUGCGACGCCGCGUGAACGAGGGAGCCCUUCGGGGUGUAAAGUUCUUUUCUAUACGAGCAGUGCUAUAUAUAUGGAUAGUAUAUAUAGAGGGAUAGUAGUAUAGGAAUAAGCAACGGCUAACUCCGUGCCAGCAGCCGCGGUAACACGGGGGUUGCGAGCGUUGUCCGGAAUUACUAGGCGUAAAGGGCAGGUAGGCGGAUCUACGAGUUUUUUGUUAAAGGCUACGGCUCAACUGUAGUAGAGCAGGAGAUACUGUAGGUCUGGAAUGCGGUAGGGGAAGACAGAAUUCCUGGUGUAGCGGUGGAAUGCGCANNNAUCAGGAGGAAUANNNAAGGCGAAGGCAGUCUUCUAGGCCGUAAUUGACGCUUAACUGCGAAGGUGUGGGGAUCAAACAGGAUUAGAUACCCUGGUAGUCCACACAGUAAACGAUAAUCACUAGAUGUCGGGUUCUAGAUGGAUUCGGUGUCGGAGCAAACGCGAUAAGUGAUUCGCCUGGGGAGUACGAUCGCAAGGUUGAAACUCAAAGGAAUUGACGGGGGCCCGCACAAGCGGUGGAGCAUGUGGUUUAAUUCGAUGCUACACGAAGAACCUUACCUGGGUUUGACAUAGAGGUAGUAGGGAAGCGAAAGCGGACCGACCCUUCGGGGAGCCUCUACAGGUGUUGCAUGGCUGUCGUCAGCUCGUGUCGUGAGAUGUUCGGUUAAGUCCGCUAACGAGCGCAACCCUCGCUGUGUGUUACAAGUGUCACACGGUACUGCCGAUAUUAAGUCGGAGGAAGGUGGGGAUGACGUCAAGUCAGCAUGACCUUUAUAUCCAGGGCUACACACACGCUACAAUGGCCAGUACAAUGGGUUGCCAAGCCGCGAGGCGGAGCCAAUCCUAAAAAGCUGGCCUCAGUUCAGAUUGCAGUCUGCAACUCGACUGCAUGAAGUUGGAGUUGCUAGUAACCGCAGGUCAGCAAUACUGCGGUGAAUACGUUCCCGGGGAU